GGUCGGGUGGUGUAGUUGGUUAUCACAUCUCGUUAACAGUUUACUGUGACAUAUUCCGAGAAGGUCCUGGGAUCGAGCCCCAGCCUGAUCA
rnacentral:tRNA from 2 species